CUUCUUGUCAGCAGGCAUUUGGAGCCUGGUGACAUCUGUCUGGCAGUAUGCUGGGGACAUGACUUUCACUGCCCUUCCUGAGUGGUUGUAUCAACGAGGGCGCUCAGGUUUUUGCAUCCAGAGGUUGCGGAAAUUCUGGGUGCCACAGAGAUCGGCAUGUGGUGCCUCUAGACUUCUCCAUGGAAGAUUUCUUUUUCAGAAAUCUGACAAAGUCUUGGUCUGACAGCAGAGGGAACCUCAAAUGCCUCACUGUAGCCAGGUAAAAACUGGAUAUCCCUGGACAUGGUUCCGGAAGAAGGGUAAAUCUUUCCAAAUGGGUAAGAUUUGAAGAGAGUCAUAAAAAAUUGGGAGAGUUUUGGCUAUCGAGAAGAUUUUUGCAGCAGAGGAAAGCUAUCUGCCAAGACCUUGAUCAUGGACUCUGUUGCUCAUGACUAUUUUAGAACAUGCUUUGAAUAGUCUCAGUAGGUUACCUGGGGAGGGAUGUAUUUUUGUCUGACAGCAGGUCCAUGCCUUUAACAGUGACAAGGCUAGACCAAAACGAUACUUGAAUCAAAGUUUCCUCACAGCAUAGAUAAUUCCUCUAAAUUCUAGCCCCGUAUUCAAAAGGGUAGUAGAACUAAGGCCAGAAGACAUCAGGUGGCUACAACCGGCAAAAUCGGUGUUAUAUUACGUGUUGAUGUGGAUCUGAAGAAAUGGCUUCUUCUCCCUAACAAAAUUCUGCUGGUGACAUCUCCUAGAUACGUGCUCAAUGACUAAAGAAGAGCUGACACUCAGGGAGCCACAGACCCUUAAGUGCACUUUGACCAUCUGCUAAUGUAUUCUGCCACAAUCUUCUCAGCCUCAUUUGACAGAGGAGGAAAUGAAGGCCUACAGAGAUUGAUUAAUUUGAUGAAGUCAUAGUUCAAGCAAGGGGCAGGGCCUAGAAUUGAAACCAUGCAGUCUGACUCUGGAGCCUCUGUGCCUAACCCCCGAUUUCACUGCCUGAAAUAUCCAUGCAUUGGAUGGCUGGAUGGCUACCUCUGAAGAAUCAAAAUAAAAUAAUGCAGAACAACAAAAAUCAGCCAAUGGAGGAAAGGAAAUUAUGGUCCCUUUCUGGGUUAUGAAGAGAGAUGAAAAGGUAAAGAAAGUGUUAAAAUGACUAAGCAAAAACUAAGCAAAAAAAUAAGGCCUGUUUCCUGGAAGGAUUGGUUUCCUUAUCUGUGAGCCCUGAUGGGUGUCAUUCAGCUGCUGCCUUGCCCGUGUUCCUUGUGGAGUGGCAGCUGAGAGAACAUGCAUUCUGGGUGGAGAAUGUCAACAGAAGGGAAAUUGUUAAACAAACAAACAAACAAAAAAACCCCUCUUAUGAGCAUGGGACAUGUGUGGUCUUCUGCUCUAUGGUAAAUUCAUAUUCGCUAUAUUCUCUCUGCCUGCCCAAAUUUUGAAAUAGUGAUUGAAAAGAAGAAGAUGAAGGAGGAGGAGGAGAAGGCAAAAG